UACGUAGGGGGCAAGCGUUGUCCGGAAUCAUUGGGCGUAAAGCGCGUGUAGGCGGCCAGAAAAGUCCGCUGUGAAAACUCGAGGCUCAACUUCGAGCUGUCGGUGGAAACUUUCUGGCUAGAGUCCGGAAGAGGAGAAUGGAAUUCCUGGUGUAGCGGUGAAAUGCGCAGAUAUCAGGAAGAACACCGAUGGCGAAAGCAGCUCUCUGGGACGGUACUGACGCUGAGGCGCGAAAGCGUGGGGAGCGAACAGG
rnacentral:rRNA from 1 species